ensembl:lncRNA
ACUGGCCCUGAGAGCCGUGACUAGGGAUGAAGCCCUCCGGACUGGGGCACCCAGGACCCGGGCCAGGGCAGGGGCUGAUCUGCUGUGUCCGUCUCUACGUGUAGCUCACCUCCCUUCUGAGUCUGAUCCUGGAUCCCAGCGACUGGCACCCCAGGAGCUAAUGUGCACAGACAGGUCCUGUUGGUCAUUUUUGCCUUUAGAGCUCUUGACAACAGUAGUCCUGGCAGGGCUCUCCCUUCCCCCUGUCCAGUGGGAUUUGUCACCUACCUUUAGGGAGGAAGCUCCCAUCUAGUUGACCCCACCUUUCCAGGGCCUGGAGGAAGCUUCACUUCUAGCCAUCACUCCCACUUCCUACCUCGACAAGUAAUUCAGUUUGUCCUUUUGCAAAAUAAGCCCCACAGACCAAGUGCUAAUCAUCCAAGAAGCCUUACCGACUAGCUACUGCCAGCCCAGCUUUCAUUUUAGAGAAGGGAAAACUGAGGCCCAGAAAGGGUAUUGGACUGGCCCAAAGCCCCAUGAGGAGUUAGUGGCAAGCCAUGAUUAGGACCGAGGCCAAUGGCCACGCCACCCCCGUCAUCGGAUUUCAGGGAUCAAAGGAAAACUGAGAUGGGAUGAAAUAGCCCAUCCAAGCCCCUCCCAGCCCUGCUUCCUCCUGAAGGCUGUGAGGAGAGGAGAUGGUGCCAUGGAUCUGAUGGGCAUCAAAUCGGGGAGCUCCAUGGUCGCUGGUCGCCAAUGAGUGUGGCCUCUGCAGACUGGGGGCCUUGGCAGGGAUCUCUUGAGGAGGCGUGGUCCGCUGUGUGGAUGGGUUUCUGCUGAACCCUUUCUGACGAUUGCUCGGAAGUGACUGCCUUUCUUCAAGUCAUAGGCUUUGAGCCUGGCAUCUUUCCCUAGGGAGAACAAGUUGUUGAGAGUAGGAAAAAUUCCUUUCUGGAAGACAUGGGCCUGAGGUUUGCCCUCCAACAUCAGCCUGUAUCCACAAGCUCUCGCAACUCCACGGGGCUUGGACUCGGGAGCAGGAAGGAAGACACUGAGCCUGUUAGGAGAGUGACUUGGUAGUCGGCAGGGGUACCUCACAAAGGGCUCCCAACUCUUUAUCUCUUUUCUCUGCCAGGUCAUACAGAUUUCCCAGGGAUGCUAAUAAAACUGCUGAGCAUUGAAGGGGUGCAAAGAGUGGUUGGGCUGAGCCUCUAGGAUUUCUAGAGAGGAAGCAACCUGCCUGGCUCCAUAAUCCACAUGUGUGAUCAGAACACUAGGGCACAGGGAGGAGGCCACGCAGAGGUCGGGAAGGAGCUGUGGUGAGGAAUUGUGUUUUACAGGAUUAGAGAGAAUGGGGCCAAAGGAACCAGGGAGAAGGAUGGCCUCAAGAGGUUUCAACAGAGGUUCUCUGAGCAUCACUCGUCUGCCAAAUAACAGCUACACCUCUAGGCACAAAAGAUGAGCGAAAUGCAACCUCGCCUCUCAGGAAGCUCACUGUCUCAUGGGGCAGGUAAAUGAACAGUUCCAGGGCUGCAAGGCCAAGGUUGGAACCGUGGCUGCCUGGAGGGUUGUUCUGCUGCUUGAGCUGAGGGUAAUGGGAUAAGAGGCCAGCGGAGAGGAGGAAGGGUGUUUCUGCUUUUCCAGCAGGGAUCACGCCAUGUGUGAAGUGCAGUGGUGAGAAAAUACAGCCAGAUGGUUCUGUGAGGCCAGAGCUUCGAAGGGGUGGGGUUGGACGUGACUUCAUAAAGUGGGAAAGUGUUGGCUUCUGACAGCUCCUCUACAUACUCCAUGGCUAAUGAGCCAGGACCCUCUCCUGACAAUACAAGGCAACCCGGAGCAUCUCAGAGGAAAGAGUUAUCCCCAGGUCGGUGAUUUAGAAUGAUCCCUCUGGCAGUCAAGUGGAGGGUUGAUGGUGGGGUCAAAUCUUGAGAUGCGAACCACAAUUUCGAGGCUGAAUCUGGUUUAAAAAAAAAAAAAAAUCAUGCAGGCAGAGGCAGCAGGGAAGAGAGGAGGAGAGAUAGGUAAGAGACAGGGUCAUGGAACUUUGUGCCUAUUUGAGUCUAGAAGAUAAGGGAGCAGAAGGUGUCAGGGAUGGAAACACUGGUGUGAAGGGCCAAGCUGGGAGCUUCUUAGUGAUGCCCCGGUUCCCAGAACCUCCUUGUGUUGGCUGUGUGCCCUCAGGCAAAUGACUUCAACGUUCGGAGCCUGGUUUUGCAAUCUACAAACAAAGGUAUUAAAAUCGAUUUGUGUGGUUCUCGUGCGUAUUAAAGAUUACAUAUGCCAAGGCACAUGGCUUGGCACGUAACAGGCACUGUGUAAGUAGUAGAUAUAAUUACCAUUUUUGUCCAUUCAACAUGUAUUGAGCACCUGCUGUGUGCCAGCGUCUGUACUGGAUCCUUGGGAUUUAAGACUCCGUCCGUAUUCUCAUGCAGGUCAGCAUCCAGGCGGAGAGAGAACUGUUACCUCGUGAGGCAAUAUGGGCUGGGGCCCCAGGAGGAAUCCUUUAAUGGUGCCCAAGAGAAACAAGAACAAUUUCACAGAGCGGAGGUGACAGCUUAAAUGAUGUAGGGGCAACUACCUGCUUAGAGACUAUCACAUCACUGCCCACCCCCCACCCCCCCCCCCCAGCCACUGACACGGGAUUGCAUUUCAAAAUCUGAAAUCUUCCGUUUUGAAGCCAAUGCCUUGCUCCUUGGGGUUGAGGGAUGGGGCUGGGCUGCAGAUGGGUGUCUCUCUGGAUAAAGAGCCUGUGUGUGUGUGUGUGUGUGUGUGUGUGUGUGUGUGUGUGUGCGCGCGCGCGCGCGCGCGCAUGUGCCUUUGCGAGCACACUUUGGCUCAUCCUAAUUUUUCUGCUCCCUCUCUGCCCUUGCGAAAAUUGCCUCCAAAUCCUUUGGUGUCCCCUACCCUUCUCCCGUGCCAGUUUUCUUCCCUGGCAUCUCUUCCUAGCCUCAUAGAGGCAGCUCUACCUGGCUCAUCCACUAAAGAGGGACUCGCACCCUGCUGCCCCUCCAAGCAAGACCUCAGGCUUUCAAGCCACAUAGACCGUGCAACCUUGGACAGUUUUUCACAGCUCCAGUUUGUCAUGUGUAACAUGGAGAAGGUAAUUGUCUCUCUUUCACGAGGCUGUUGUGAGGUUUCAAUGAAAUGGAAACUCUGCACCCAAUCAAUGCUUGUUUCCCUUCUCUGCAGCCCCAUAGCUGCCUCCCUGCUGAGGGUCAGCCAAGACACUCUCAGCUGGCGGUUCCUCCUGGUACCCUGGCCCCUGGGGUCUUUCCCAGGCAGGCCCUGCUGGCCCCUCCCCUCUGCUGCCUAAAGGGUCUGUGGCAUUCCUGGGAGGCCCCGAGGACUCUAGCACAAUGUGCUGGCAGGCCUGAGCAGCAUGACCAUGGGGGCCCCAGGAGCACCCCCGAGCCCACUCCUCGCUCCAUCCUGAUCCUGUCUCUCCUCCCACUGCCAGUGACAGGCCACUGCUCUGCAGAUAGGACAGGCGUCCCUGGGUGCCUGAGGGCUGAGUAGGGAAGCUGGAAACAGCUCUCCCUCACAGACUGUGUGGGCAGCACAUUCGAAUAGCUUCUGAAAAACCAAAGUUCAAGUUCCACUCCGCUUUCUCCUGGGAGGCGCAGCAUCCAGGCAGGGAGAGUUCAGCCAGCAGAAAAUCUCCUUGCCGCAAUGCCACUGCCGCAGCUCCCCUCCUUUCUGCCCCACCCACAGCCACACAGGCACGGUCUCCAGAAGCAGCCCAGGAACCCUUGGGAGGCCCAGAGACCUGACUCUGACACUAAGGUGCAGGAGUCGUUGCCUUUAUCUGAGCCUCCGUUUUCCUCCUCUGUAAAAUGGGAGUAACUUAAAUGCCUGCCGCUCAGGAGGAUUCAAUGAGAG